CAGUCACUAACUGUUAUUCAGUAAAUGGAAACGUGGACGAAUCUUUCCGUUUAGAAAUUUACAAGUUUGUCUUUUGCUUUAUUUGCAGAAAACCAGGACAGAAGAUGUGGUGAAUAUCUUACUGUGAUGGCAGACAGAUUGUCCCGUGACUUCAGUGAUGUACCUUGUGCUUCCAACAACGACGGGAAUGUCUUACCCUUACAUGAUUACGAGCGACUCCUGAGGGAACAGUUCCACAUCUACACGUCUCUCCACCCUUCAACUUCCUAAGCAGACGACCACAGCACCAGGUGAAGCCAAACCUGACGGUACAGUUCCUCUCCUCCGUCUCUCCACCCUUCAUCGUCCCCCAGAGAAGUCUAAUCUGACGGUGCAGUUCCUCAUCUACACGUCUCUCCACCCUUCAUCGUGCCCCACAGAGGACCACAGUACCAGGUGAAGGCUAAUCUGACGAUACAGUUCCUCAUCUACACGUCUCUCCACCCUUCAUCGUCCCCCACAGAGGACCACAGUACCAGGUGAAGCCUAAUCUGACGAUACAGUUCCUCAUCUACACGUCUCUCCACCCUUCAUUCUCCUCUACAGAGGACCACGACACCAGUAGGGCAUGAACUGACUGUACAGUUUCUCAUCUAUACGUCUCUCCACCCUUCAUCGUUCCCAACAGACGACCACGGGACCACAGUAGGGGGUGCAGCCUCAAGUGAGGCAACAGUUUAUGCAGACGACAUUGUGUUUAUAUUUUUAUGCAGACGAUGUUUUCUUUUUUGCUGUAGGCUGACCAUAUUUUCUUUAUAGGUUUAUGCU